GACGAACGCUGGCGGCAGGCUUAACACAUGCAAGUCGAACGCCCCGCAAGGGGAGUGGCAGACGGGUGAGUAACGCGUGGGAAUCUACCUAGUUCUACGGAACAACAGUUGGAAACGACUGCUAGUACCGUAUACGCCCUACGGGGGAAAGAUUUAUCGGUAUGAGAUGGCGAUGCGUCCCAUUAGCUUGUUGGUGGGGUAAUGGCUCACCAAGGCAUCGAUGGGUAGGGGUUCUGAGAGGAAGGUCCCCCACAUUGGAACUGAGACACGGUCCAA
rnacentral:rRNA from 1 species